rnacentral:rRNA from 1 species
UACGUAGGGGGCAAGCGUUGUCCGGAUUUAUUGGGCGUAAAGAGCUCGUAGGCGGCUCGUUGCGUCGGCUGUGAAAACCCACGGCUUAACCGUGGGCCUGCAGCCGAUACGGGCGAGCUAGAGUUCGGUAGGGGAGACUGGAAUUCCUGGUGUAGCGGUGAAAUGCGCAGAUAUCAGGAGGAACACCCGGGGCGAAGGCGGCCCUCUGGCUCGACCCUGACGCUGAGGCGCGAAAGCGUGGGGAGCGAACGGG